rnacentral:rRNA from 1 species
AUUGAACGCUGGCGGCAUGCUUUACACAUGCAAGUCGAACGGUAACAGGCCGCAAGGUGCUGACGAGUGACGAACGGGUGAGUAAUGCAUUGGAACGUGCCCAGUCGUGGGGGAUAACGCAGCGAAAGCUGUGCUAAUACCGCAUACGCUAUAUGGAUGAAAGCGGGGGACCGUAAGGCCUCGCGCGAUCGGAGCGGCCGAUGUCAGAUUAGGGAGUUGGCGGGGUAAAGGCUCACCAAGCCAACGAUCUGUAGCUGGUCUGAGAGGACGACCAGCCACACUGGGACUGAGACGCGGCCCAGACUCCUAAGGGAGGAAGAAGUGGGGAAUUUUGGACAAUGGGCGAAAGCCUGAUCCAGCAAUGCCGCGUGCAGGAAGAAGGCCGUCGGGUUGUAAACUGCUUUUGUACGGAGCGAAAAGGUCUCCUCUAAUACAGGGGGCUCAUGACGGUACCGUAAGAAUAAGCACCGGCUAACUACGUGCCAGCCGCCGCCGUAA